CCGCGGUCGGUGGAAGGAGCUGGUGUGGGAGGGCGGAACUCAGGCUCCUGCGGGGCCCUUGACCGCGUACCUGCCCAUCAGAUUCCCCGUCUGAACAACGACGCAGCCUCUGAAGUCCACUGCGGUGGGGUCAAGACUUUCUUUCUGGAGUCGGUACAGUCUGAGGCCUGAGCUGGCGGGGCCUGCUGCCUGCUUGGUGGGGAUUGGUCACUCCUCCAGAGCCAUUCUUCCUCCCAUGCAGAGCCUUGGGGCUCCAUGACCCCUGCUGAGGGAUUGGCCCGUGGGACCACUCCUAGGGUUCAAGGCUUUCCGGCUGGUUCGGCGGGGCCCUCGAGGGCCGGGACCCCCUUUGGCUUUACGCCUGCUCCAGAUCGUGGUGUCCCAACAGGGAGCCCACACCAGGGAGGAGAAACUGAGAAGUUGGACGGCGUGAGAGGUGCCGGCCUCCGUGACUCAUUUUCUUCAUCUGUGCGAUGAGACCAUCGGACUGGAUGUUCUCGAAGGCUCCUUCCAGCACUGGUGAAUCAACAGUUUCUCCUCCGCUCUCUACUCUCCCCCAC